AGAACGAACGCUGGCGGCGUGCUUAACACAUGCAAGUCGAACGCGAAAGGGACUUCGGUCUUGAGUAAAGUGGCGCACGGGUGAGUAACGCGUAGAUAACCUGUCUUCAUGUCUGGAAUAAUACGCCGAAAGGGGUACUAAUACCGGAUAUUCUUGCUUUUCAUAAGUUAUGCAAGCAAAGGUGGCCUCUGCAUAUGCUACUGCAUGAAGAGGGGUCUGCGUACCAUUAGCUAGUAGGUGGGGUAAUGGCCUACCUAGGCGACGAUGGUUAGCGGGUCUGAGAGGAUGAUCCGCCACACUGGCACUGGAACACGGGCCAGACUCCUACGGGAGGCAGCAGUGAGGAAUAUUGCGCAAUGGGGGAAACCCUGACGCAGCGACGCCGCGUGAGUUGAGGAAGGCCUUCGGGUCGUAAAGCUCUGUCAAGAGGAAAGAAGUGUACAAUGGCUAAUACCUGUUGUAUUUGACGGUACCUCUAAAGGAAGCACCGGCUAACUCCGUGCCAGCCGCCGC
rnacentral:rRNA from 1 species